CUCAGGAGAUGCACGAGCGGAGAACGGCGUCUCAGGAAACGCGGGAGUUGGACGAAGCCUUUGGGGCAGGCGAGCAGGUUGGCGAAGGAGGUGGUCGUCGAAGUGCGGUGAGCCUGUUCAGUUCAACGUCAAAUUGGAACCGGUUCGCUGUCAACGUUAGGAGGCAUGAAGCUUUUCUCAUUUAGCAACCCCACUCAUCCGGUUUCAAGAGAAGGGCACGUGGCAAACGUUUCCAGUAUACUACGACAUUUGUGUUCCUUUUUGGCACCAAAUAUACAAGAAAACAAACUGCAAGGUAUCUUUCAAUCUUUUUUUUUAUUUUUGCCAAGGCACAGCCCAGUUUUGAACUAGAACAGCCCAAGAACGGGACGAAAGUAAGCAAGCCAGACGGUAUAAAGGUCUUUGUGUAGUCGGUUCAUUCCGUCCCCUCUCUGCUCCGUUUCAGUUGAAAAGUAAAUAACGAACAAGGACUGACGCGCGCUAUUCUCCCGAUCCGGUAUUCACCCGUCGUGCCAGGUAUGCGCACCUGAGUGGAAUCUAUAACAUAUGCUAUAAAUGGAUUGCGACAUAGAAGGAUUCUGUUUCUAGAACAGAAAGUGACAGCGUCCUGGUUGCACUGCAAUGCACUGCGCAUUAGCUUUUAGCUGGAGAAUCUAGG